GGGGUUGUAGCUCAGUGGUGGAGCACCUGCCUCACACGUGGGAGGCACUGGGUUCAAUCCUCAGCACCACA
rnacentral:tRNA from 1 species